rnacentral:rRNA from 1 species
GACAGAGGAUGCAAGCGUUAUCCGGAAUGAUUGGGCGUAAAGCGUCUGUAGGUGGCUUUUUAAGUCCGCCGUCAAAUCCCAGGGCUCAACCCUGGACAGGCGGUGGAAACUACCAAGCUGGAGUACGGUAGGGGCAGAGGGAAUUUCCGGUGGAGCGGUGAAAUGCGUAGAGAUCGGAAAGAACACCCGUGGCGAAGGCAGAUCUCUGGGCUGUAACUGACGCUGAGGAGCGAAAGCGUGGGGAGCGAACAGG